AGCGAACGUUAGCGGCGGGCUUAACACAUGCAAGUCGAGCGAGAACGGGGCUUCGGCUCCUAGUAAAGCGGCGGACGGGUGAGUAACACGUAGGUAAUCUUCCUUCGAGCGGGGGACAACGGUCCGAAAGGACCGCUAAUACCGCGUACGUUUCCGAGGACUCUGGUCUUCGGAAGGAAAGCUAGGUAGCAAUAUCCGGCACUCGGAGCGGAGCCUGCGUCGCAUCAGCUAGUUGGUGGGGUAACGGCCACCAAGGCGAAGACGCGUAGCUGGUCUGAGAGGAUGAUCAGCCACACUGGGACUGAGACACGGCCCAGACUCCUACGGGAGGCAGCAGUGGGGAAUAUUGGACAAUGGGCGCAAGCCUGAUCCAGCCACGCCGCGUGAGUGAUGAAGGCCU
rnacentral:rRNA from 1 species